rnacentral:rRNA from 1 species
AGAGUUUGAUCCUGGCUCAGACGAACGCUGGCGGCAGGCUUAACACAUGCAAGUCGAACGGGCCCUUCGGGGUCAGUGGCAGACGGGUGAGUAACACGUGGGAACGUACCUUUCAGUUCGGAAUAACCCAGGGAAACUUGGGCUAAGACCGGAUACGCCCUUUUGGGGAAAGAUUUAUCGCUGAGAGAUCGGCCCGCGUCUGAUUAGCUAGUUGGUGAGGUAAAGGCUCACCAAGGCGACGAUCAGUAGCUGGUCUGAGAGGAUGAUCAGCCACAUUGGGACUGAGACACGGCCCAAACUCCUACGGGAGGCAGCAGUGGGGAAUAUUGGACGAUGGGCGCAAGCCUGAUCCAGCCAUGCCGCGUGAGUGAUGAAGGCCUUAGGGUUGUAAAGCUCUUUCGGCGGGGACGAUAAUGACGGUACCCGCAGAAGAAGCCCCGGCUAACUUCGUGCCAGCAGCCGCGGUAAUACGAAGGGGGCUAGCGUUGNNCGGAAUCACUGGGCGUAAAGGGCGCGUAGGCGGCUUGAUAAGUCGGGGGUGAAAGCCUGUGGCUCAACCACAGAAUUGCCUUCGAUACUGUCUGGCUCGAGACCGGAAGAGGUAAGUGGAACUGCGAGUGUAGAGGUGAAAUUCGUAGAUAUUCGCAAGAACACCAGUGGCGAAGGCGGCUUACUGGUCCNNNNCUGACGCUGAGGCGCGAAAGCGUGGGAGCAAACAGGAUUAGAUACCCNNGUAGUCC